UACAGAGGGUGCAAGCGUUAAUCGGAAUUACUGGGCGUAAAGCGUGCGUAGUCGGUUAUUUAAGUCAGGUGUGAAAGCCCUGGGCUUAACCUAGGAAUUGCGCUUGAGACUGGAUAGCUUGGAGUGCGGCAGAGGGAGGUGGAAUUCCACGUGUAGCAGUGAAAUGCGUAGAGAUGUGGAGGAACACCGAUGGCGAAGGCAGCCUCCUGGGCCAGCACUGACGCUCAUGCACGAAAGCGUGGGGAGCAAACAGG
rnacentral:rRNA from 1 species